rnacentral:piRNA from 1 species
UGCAUAUAUGCAACAGGCAUGGCUUCC